ACUCAAAGGAAUUGACGGGGACCCGCACAAGCGGUGGAGCGUGUUCUUUAAUUCGAUGGUAAGCGAAGAACCUUACCAAGGUUUGACAUCCUACCAAUUUCUCCGAAAGGAGAGAGUGCCUUCGGGCCGUAGUGACAGGUGAUGCAUGGCCGUCUUCAGCUCGUGUCGUGAGAUGUUAGGUUAAGUCCUUCAACGAGCGCAACCCUUAUACUUAGUUGGAUUUCUCUAGGUAGACUGCCCCGGUAACGGGGAGGAAGGAGGGGAUGAUGUCAGGUCAGUAUUUCCCUUACACCUUGGGCUAGAAACACGCUACAAUGGCCGGUACAAAGGGCAGCCAAGUCGCAAGACGGAGCAAAUCCCAUCAAAGCCGGUCCCAGUUCGGAUAGGAGGCUGAAACUCGCCUUCUUGAAGUCGGAAUCGCUAGUAACGGUAGGUCAGCACACUACCGUGAAUACGUUCCCGGGUCUUGCACACACCGCCCGU
rnacentral:rRNA from 1 species